UACGUAGGGUGCGAGCGUUAAUCGGAAUUACUGGGCGUAAAGCGUGCGCAGGCGGUUUUGUAAGCCAGAUGUGAAAGCCCCGGGCUUAACCUGGGAAUGGCAUUUGGGACUGCAAGGCUGGAGUGUGGCAGAGGAGACUGGAAUUCCUGGUGUAGCAGUGAAAUGCGUAGAUAUCCGGAGGAACACCAGUGGCGAAGGCGGCCACCUGGGCUGUACCUGACGCUCAAACACGAAAGCUAGGGGAGCGAACGGG
rnacentral:rRNA from 1 species